rnacentral:rRNA from 1 species
GACGAACGCUGGCGGCGUGCCUAAUACAUGCAAGUUGAGCGCUGAAGGUUGGUACUUGUACCAACUGGAUGAGCAGCGAACGGGUGAGUAACGCGUGGGGAAUCUGCCUUUGAGCGGGGGACAACAUUUGGAAACGAAUGCUAAUACCGCAUAAAAACUUUAAACACAAGUUUUAAGUUUGAAAGAUGCAAUUGCAUCACUCAAAGAUGAUCCCGCGUUGUAUUAGCUAGUUGGUGAGGUAAAGGCUCACCAAGGCGAUGAUACAUAGCCGACCUGAGAGGGUGAGCGCCCACAUUGGGAGUGAGACAGGCCACAAACCCAUCGGGGAGGAAGCGGUAGGAAUGCUGGGGAAAGGGACGAAGGUCGGACGGAGAAACGCGGAGAGAGGGAAGAGGUUUUUCGGAUGGAAAAACUCUGUGGGUAGAAAAGACCGUGUGGGGGAGGGGAAAGCCCAUAAAGGGAGGUAAACUACCAAAAAGGGGACGGCAAACUACGUG